UUUGUUGGCCCGGUAGUGGAUUUCCCAUAAUUCCCCCAAUUAAGCACCCUCCAAACCACUUUUAGGAAAGUGGUUAAUGCGAGAUGUCCGUCGUUUGGUGCGUGUGUAGAGUCUCGGGGAAAGGGCUCGGUCUAUUCAACUCAGAAGACAGAAGACUAUGCGACGGAGCUUAUGCGGAACCGGUUCCCCAUUGUAGCCCAACAUACAAUUUCGUCAAGGCUGGAUUAGAGUGAAGCGUAGUGUGACGCUACCCCUGAGACUGACUGCCAGCCCUCCACCCCAGCCCACUCCCCUGUGGUCAGCAGAACCCGCACUGCCCCAACUCCGCAGCUCAGGGCUGGAGCCCAGCGUACUGGUCCGACUCAGGCAGUACUGGCUUUAAGGGGCGGGGCUGUGAAGUGUGCCAUUAAAGAGGCGGAGAGGGACAGGGACCUCGCGGCUCACGGUCGGCUCAUCCUGGCUCACGGUCUGCCAGCGCAUCACCGCGCCGGGGCCUUUCAGGGCUCUGUGGGAGGGCUCAGGGCUUGUGGACCGCAAACCGCCAUGAUCCGAAUGCUAAAAGGAAGGCUAUAAAUGAGUAUUUUAUUGUCAGUAUGCAACAAAACUGCCAGACUCAGUGUGUGUGCGAGGAGGGAAAAACACCCUGAAUUGUUACACAAUCAGGCUUUGAAAACUUGUUGUAGUUUCUGCUUUUACUUUUGCUUAAAAAAAAAAAGCAGGUUUGGUGUAUGUUAACCCACGAGAGUGUUUCUGUCACCUGAUCUUCUCCGAAGGAACGUGAACGGCUUCUUAAAUGCCGGCCGAGCAGAUAGCCAUCUCCAUUCUGCUCUCAGGAACUUGUGUAACAGUUUCACAAACAAUAUGCUGUAUGCUUCAGAAUGCAUGGCAGCUGUCGGUGCACACCCAGCAGGCACACGCGAGGAUGUACAGUGGUAUAAUUUUGUUAUGUAUGAUGUUGGUGUCCAAAAAGGGAUAAAGACUAUUUCUAAUUUCUUGCUGACAUUUAUUAGUUAGUACAUCUUGUAUUUCAGGCACUGCUGCAGGGAAAAAGGAUUUGUAGUUGGCCUUGUGCUAUUACUCAUCAUAAAUUCUCACUUCCUAUUUAAGAUGUCUCUCAGUGAUGUGAUGGGGUUGGAGGCAGGGAG